GGGUUGUGAGGUUAAGCGACUAAGCGUACACGGUGGAUGCCCUGGCAGUCAGAGGCGAUGAAGGACGUGCUAAUCUGCGAUAAGCGUCGGUAAGGUGAUAUGAACCGUUAUAACCGGCGAUUUCCGAAUGGGGAAACCCAGUGUGUUUCGACACACUAUCAUUAACUGAAUCCAUAGGUUAAUGAGGCGAACCGGGGGAACUGAAACAUCUAAGUACCCCGAGGAAAAGAAAUCAACCGAGAUUCCCCCAGUAGCGGCGAGCGAACGGGGAGCAGCCCAGAGCCUGAAUCAGUGUGUGUGUUAGUGGAAGCGUCUGGAAAGGCGCGCGAUACAGGGUGACAGCCCCGUACACAAAAAUGCACAUGCUGUGAGCUCGAUGAGUAGGGCGGGACACGUGGUAUCCUGUCUGAAUAUGGGGGGACCAUCCUCCAAGGCUAAAUACUCCUGACUGACCGAUAGUGAACCAGUACCGUGAGGGAAAGGCGAAAAGAACCCCGGCGAGGGGAGUGAAAAAGAACCUGAAACCGUGUACGUACAAGCAGUGGGAGCACGCUUCGGCGUGUGACUGCGUACCUUUUGUAUAAUGGGUCAGCGACUUAUAUUCUGUAGCAAGGUUAACCGAAUAGGGGAGCCGAAGGGAAACCGAGUCUUAACUGGGCGUUAAGUUGCAGGGUAUAGACCCGAAACCCGGUGAUCUAGCCAUGGGCAGGUUGAAGGUUGGGUAACACUAACUGGAGGACCGAACCGACUAAUGUUGAAAAAUUAGCGGAUGACUUGUGGCUGGGGGUGAAAGGCCAAUCAAACCGGGAGAUAGCUGGUUCUCCCCGAAAGCUAUUUAGGUAGCGCCUCGUGAAUUCAUCUCCGGGGGUAGAGCACUGUUUCGGCAAGGGGGUCAUCCCGACUUACCAACCCGAUGCAAACUGCGAAUACCGGAGAAUGUUAUCACGGGAGACACACGGCGGGUGCUAACGUCCGUCGUGAAGAGGGAAACAACCCAGACCGCCAGCUAAGGUCCCAAAGUCAUGGUUAAGUGGGAAACGAUGUGGGAAGGCCCAGACAGCCAGGAUGUUGGCUUAGAAGCAGCCAUCAUUUAAAGAAAGCGUAAUAGCUCACUGGUCGAGUCGGCCUGCGCGGAAGAUGUAACGGGGCUAAACCAUGCACCGAAGCUGCGGCAGCGACGCUGAUGCGUUGUUGGGUAGGGGAGCGUUCUGUAAGCCUGUGAAGGUGUGCUGUGAGGCAUGCUGGAGGUAUCAGAAGUGCGAAUGCUGACAUAAGUAACGAUAAAGCGGGUGAAAAGCCCGCUCGCCGGAAGACCAAGGGUUCCUGUCCAACGUUAAUCGGGGCAGGGUGAGUCGACCCCUAAGGCGAGGCCGAAAGGCGUAGUCGAUGGGAAACAGGUUAAUAUUCCUGUACUUGGUGUUACUGCGAAGGGGGGACGGAGAAGGCUAUGUUGGCCGGGCGACGGUUGUCCCGGUUUAAGCGUGUAGGCUGGUUUUCCAGGCAAAUCCGGAAAAUCAAGGCUGAGGCGUGAUGACGAGGCACUACGGUGCUGAAGCAACAAAUGCCCUGCUUCCAGGAAAAGCCUCUAAGCAUCAGGUAACAUCAAAUCGUACCCCAAACCGACACAGGUGGUCAGGUAGAGAAUACCAAGGCGCUUGAGAGAACUCGGGUGAAGGAACUAGGCAAAAUGGUGCCGUAACUUCGGGAGAAGGCACGCUGAUAUGUAGGUGAAGUCCCUCGCGGAUGGAGCUGAAAUCAGUCGAAGAUACCAGCUGGCUGCAACUGUUUAUUAAAAACACAGCACUGUGCAAACACGAAAGUGGACGUAUACGGUGUGACGCCUGCCCGGUGCCGGAAGGUUAAUUGAUGGGGUCAGCGCAAGCGAAGCUCUUGAUCGAAGCCCCGGUAAACGGCGGCCGUAACUAUAACGGUCCUAAGGUAGCGAAAUUCCUUGUCGGGUAAGUUCCGACCUGCACGAAUGGCGUAAUGAUGGCCAGGCUGUCUCCACCCGAGACUCAGUGAAAUUGAACUCGCUGUGAAGAUGCAGUGUACCCGCGGCAAGACGGAAAGACCCCGUGAACCUUUACUAUAGCUUGACACUGAACAUUGAGCCUUGAUGUGUAGGAUAGGUGGGAGGCUUUGAAGUGUGGACGCCAGUCUGCAUGGAGCCGACCUUGAAAUACCACCCUUUAAUGUUUGAUGUUCUAACGUUGACCCGUAAUCCGGGUUGCGGACAGUGUCUGGUGGGUAGUUUGACUGGGGCGGUCUCCUCCUAAAGAGUAACGGAGGAGCACGAAGGUUGGCUAAUCCUGGUCGGACAUCAGGAGGUUAGUGCAAUGGCAUAAGCCAGCUUGACUGCGAGCGUGACGGCGCGAGCAGGUGCGAAAGCAGGUCAUAGUGAUCCGGUGGUUCUGAAUGGAAGGGCCAUCGCUCAACGGAUAAAAGGUACUCCGGGGAUAACAGGCUGAUACCGCCCAAGAGUUCAUAUCGACGGCGGUGUUUGGCACCUCGAUGUCGGCUCAUCACAUCCUGGGGCUGAAGUAGGUCCCAAGGGUAUGGCUGUUCGCCAUUUAAAGUGGUACGCGAGCUGGGUUUAGAACGUCGUGAGACAGUUCGGUCCCUAUCUGCCGUGGGCGCUGGAGAACUGAGGGGGGCUGCUCCUAGUACGAGAGGACCGGAGUGGACGCAUCACUGGUGUUCGGGUUGUCAUGCCAAUGGCACUGCCCGGUAGCUAAAUGCGGAAGAGAUAAGUGCUGAAAGCAUCUAAGCACGAAACUUGCCCCGAGAUGAGUUCUCCCUGACCCUUUAAGGGUCCUGAAGGAACGUUGAAGACGACGACGUUGAUAGGCCGGGUGUGUAAGCGCAGCGAUGCGUUGAGCUAACCGGUACUAAUGAACCGUGAGGCUUAACCUUACAACGCCGAAG
rnacentral:rRNA from 1 species